rnacentral:rRNA from 1 species
AUAUAAGAGAUUGGAAACCGGCUCAGGAUGAACGCUGGCGGUCUGCUUAACACAUGCAAGUCGAACGGAAUCCUUCGGGAUUUAGUGGCGGACGGGUGAGUAACACGUGAGAAUCUGCACUCAGGAUGGGGACAACAGCGGGAAACUGCUGCUAAUACCCAAUGUGCCGAAAGGUAAAAGAUUUAUCGCCUGAGAAUGAGCUCGCGGCCGAUUAGUUAGUUGGUGGGGUAAUGGCCUACCAAGACGGCGAUCGGUAGCUGGUCUGAGAGGAUGAGCAGCCACACUGGGACUGAGACACGGCCCAGACUCCUACGGGAGGCAGCAGUGGGGAAUUUUCCGCAAUGGGCGCAAGCCUGACGGAGCAAGACCGCGUGGGGGAGGAAGGCUCUUGGGUUGUAAACCCCUUUUCUCAGGGAAGAAGUUCUGACGGUACCUGAGGAAUCAGCCUCGGCUAACUCCGUGCCAGCAGCCGCGGUAAUACGGAGGAGGCAAGCGUUAUCCGGAAUUAUUGGGCGUAAAGCGUCCGUAGGUGGUGGGGCAAGUCGGCGGUUAAAGACUGGGGCUUAACUCCAGAAAGGCCGUGGAAACUGCACCACUAGAGGGCAGUAGGGGUAGAGGGAAUUCCCGGUGUAGCGGUGAAAUGCGUAGAGAUCGGGAAGAACACCAGUGGCGAAAGCGCUCUACUGGACUGCAACUGACACUCAGGGACGAAAGCUAGGGGAGCGAAUGGGAUUAGAUACCCCAGUAGUCCUAGCCGUAAACGAUGAACUAGUACCAU